rnacentral:lncRNA from 1 species
GAAAAUUUUGACCUGCCAAUCAAACUCAUCCUGCCCCUCCUUGCAUACCAGCAGGCCCUCCCUAAUCCCUUAAACUCUACCCCAGCCUGGGAGAGAGAGAGACAUUUGAGAGCUUGGCCUCCUGUCUCCUUGCUGGUCCACCAUGUUUAAAGCCUUUUGUUUCUCAAAAGCAGGUGUGCCACUGUGUCAGCUUCUGUGCCCAUCAGGUGGCGAAGCCUUGCUUAGUAACAGUUUUAAGGGUUGGAACUUCAACCUGGGGAUCAUUGGGAACAUUUGAAGAUUUUGUUUUUAAAGGAGGUUCUAGUAGCAGUGUAAAAAUUGACCUGGAGAGGCAAGACUGGUGGCCAGGAGGCCCAUUAGGAGGCUGCUAUAAUCUAGGUUUCUGGCCUGAGUAGCUGAGUAGAAUGUGGUCCCAAGCACUGAGAUAAUGAACACAGGAGGAGUGAUGGACAUUGGAGCUGUUUCUGCCUUUUGGCUGUUAUAAAUAAUGGUGCUGUGAAC